AAAGCAGGGGAUCGCAAGACCUUACGCUUUUGGAGCGGCCGAUGUCUGAUUAGCUAGUUGGUGAGGUAAAGGCUUACCAAGGCUUCGAUCAGUAGCUGGUCUGAGAGGACGACCAGCCACACUGGGACUGAGACACGGCCCAGACUCCUACGGGAGGCAGCAGUGGGGAAUUUUGGACAAUGGGCGAAACCCUGAUCCAGCCAUGCCGCGUGAGUGAAGAAGGCCUUCGGGUUGUAAAGCUCUUUCAGCCGGAAAGAAACGGUUACGAUUAAUACCUGUAACUAAUGACGGUACCGAAAGAAGAAGCACCGGCUAACUACGUGCCAGCAGCCGCGGUAAUACGUAGGGUGCGAGCGUUAAUCGGAAUUACUGGGCGUAAAGGGUGCGCAGGCGGCUUUGUAAGUCAGAUGUGAAAUCCCCGGGCUUAACCUGGGAACUGCGUUUGAAACUACAAGGCUAGA
rnacentral:rRNA from 1 species